rnacentral:tRNA from 4 species
GGGGCCGUAGCUCAGCUGGGAGAGCACCUGUCUUGCACACAGGAGGUCAGGAGUUCGAUCCUCCUCGGCUCCACCA